rnacentral:rRNA from 1 species
UUCGUACUGUGAAGCAUCCUGUUAAGUCAGGCAACGAGCGAGACCCACGCCCACAAUUGCCAGCGUACUCUCUGGAGGGAUGGGGACAUUGUGGGGACCGCCUCUGCUAAAGGGGAGGAAGGAAUGGGCAACGGUAGGUCAGUAUGCCCCGAAUUUCCCGGGCUACACGCGAGCUACAAUGGAUGGUACAAUGGGUAUCUACCCCGAAAGGGGACGGCAAUCUCCUAACCCCAACCUUAGUUCGGAUUGAGGGCUGCAACUCACCCUCAUGAAUCUGGAAUCCGUAGUAAUCGCGUUUCACUAUAACGCGGUGAAUACGUCCCUGCUCCUUGCACA